rnacentral:rRNA from 1 species
GAUGAACGCUGGCGGCGUGCCUAAUACAUGCAAGUCGAGCGAAUGGAUUAAGAGCUUGCUCUUAUGAAGUUAGCGGCGGACGGGUGAGUAACACGUGGGUAACCUGCCCAUAAGACUGGGAUAACUCCGGGAAACCGGGGCUAAUAUCGGAUAACAUUUUGAACCGCAUGGUUCGAAAUUGAAAGGCGGCUUCGGCUGUCACUAAUGGAUGGACCCGCGUAGCAUUAGCCAGUUGGUGAGGUAACGGCUCACCAAGGCAACGAUGCGUAGCCGAACUGAGAGGGUGAUCGGCCACACUGGGACUGAGACACGGCCCAGACUCCUACGGGAGGCAGCAGUAGGGAAUCUUCCGCAAUGGACGAAAGUCUGACGGAGCAACGCCGCGUGAGUGAUGAAGGCUUUCGGGUCGUAAAACUCUGUUGUUAGGGAAGAACAAGUGCUAGUUGAAUAAGCUGGCACCUUGACGGUACCUAACCAGAAAGCCACGGCUAACUACGUGCCAGCAGCCGCAGUAA